rnacentral:misc_RNA from 1 species
AAUCUUUUCCAUGCUUUCUCUCAGUCGCCAGCAAACCCAAAUCCCAGUACUCCACUACUAAAUCUCGACGUGGUCCGGCCACGGGGCCUAAGAUCUGACCCGGAUUGCACUGACCACAAUAGCAACCUUCUAGGUUCCUCAGCAUCAUCAAGCCAAUCAAUCUUGGGGCCUCAAGGAUCAAAUCAAGCUCCGCUUCCAUCUAUGCAAUUGCGAGCCGUACAAGACAAUGGAGCUCGCUCUUCU